UGAAUAAAUAAAAUCUUAAAAAAAGAAAAUAGAAGGAAAUAGCUUAUGUGAUUAAAGAAAAAUGAGUCAUAGAAUCAUUUCAUUGUUGGGCCGAGUGGACUAGGGGACAUUGAUGGGUAUGGACAUGGAUCUGCCUUCAAAGCUAGCUUGAGGGCCUGUGAGAAUGUCUGGACUUUGCACAGAAAUUGCACAUUCCUUAUCCUUCAUCUGCAGGACUGGGUGGAUCAAUGAGCCCCACGAACAACAUGGAUUUAGGGAGUUCAGAUGGACAGUAAGGAAGAGAAAAGGAAUUGACCAUUAGCCAGUGAUUUCUCUAAUGCGGAAAUGUGCUCACAUCCCUCCCCUCCUUUAAUUAUCCUUCAUAAUCUCACCUCUGUUUCCUUUCCAGUGACAUCUCUGGGCUUGUGCCUGCCCCUGCCCUGGAGCCCUGGGUGCCAGCCUUGCUGAAUUCCCUAGGAAGUAGCACACCCUCUGGAGUCUGGAGGCUGCUUGGGUAGAGAUCCUGGCUCUGCCCCUAGUGCACUCUGGCCUCCUGUGCCUCAGUGCCUUCUCCCAUCAAUGAACCCUCCCUCACUGGGUUGUUAUGAGAAUUAACCCAAUAUUUCUAGAGCACUCAGAACAGACCAAUGUUAUAUAAAUGUGUAAAUAUGAAUUAUCCAAAAGUACCGUGUUCUCUUUUAUCUUCAUGCCUUUAUACUUGCUGUUCCCUCUCUGCCUAGACUGCUUUUGCUCCAGCCCUGCCUGCCUAAUCAUGCCCAUGCGUCUUCUAAGGAAAGUUUCACCACCCUCUUGAAAUUAAGUGCAGCUCCAUGACUUGCUUUGGUCAAUGAAACAUGAGGAGAAAUUACACCCAUUUUCCAGGCAGAAGCGUUAAGAGCCAGGAUGUGAGUUUCCAUACCCACUUCCUACCAUUGUGAUGACUGUGAGCAGGUGUCAACCUGAGUCUCCACCAGUCAGACAGACUGCAAACGCAGGGCUCCUGUUGACCACAUCUGACAUGAAGCAUGAGUAAGAAAUAAACAUGUAUAAACCACUGAGAUUUAGCUUAGAACUGACAUUUGUCCAUCUCCCCCCAGGCAAAUUUAAAUGCAUUUAUUUUAAAUCUUUAUUCCCUUAGGAUUAAAUGUUUUCUUCCAAAAAAAAAAAAAAUGUUUUCUUCCAUCAACUUACUGCACUGAACUAUUUGCUUGUUUAAAUGUCUGUCUCUGCCAUUAAACUAUAAGUUGUCUGA